rnacentral:rRNA from 1 species
CGGGUGUGAUCCUGCCAGUAGUCAUAUGCUUGUCUCACAGAUUACGCCAUGCUUGUCGUACAGUAGUAACAAAUCUAUAGAUGUGAGAGAGCUGCGAAUGGCUCAUUAUAGUCAGUUAUAGUACAUUUGAUAGUACCUUACUACUUGGAUAACCGAGGGUAGUCUAGAGCUAAGUGACUGCGUGAAAAUCCCGACUAUCUGGGAAGAGGCUGUCUUUAUUAAGAUAACCACACCAAUGCCAAGCAAAUGGCGUGCAUGGUGAUACAUAACAACUUUUGGAAUCGUAUAGACCUCGGUGUCGACGAUGGUUCGAUUCAAAUCUCUGCCCUAUCAACUUUCGGAUGGUACGAUAGAGGCCUACCAUGGUGUUAACGGGUAACGGAGAAUUAGGGUCUCGAUUCCGGAGAGCGUGAGCCUGAGAAACGGCUACCACAUCCAAGGACGGCAGCAGGCGCGCACAUUACCCAAUCCUGAUACAGGGAGGUAGUGACAAUCAAUACCAAUACAGGGCCCUUUGGGUCUUGUAAUUGGAAUGAGUACAAUUUAAAUCCCUUAACGAGGAGCAAUUGGAGGUCAAGUCUGGUGCCAGCAGCCGCGGUAAUUCCAGCUCCAAUAGCGUAUAUUAAAGUCGUUGCAGUUAAAAAGCUCGUAGUUGAAUUUUUGAUCUGGCCAAGGUGUCGGCCGCAAGGUCUGUACUUCUUGGCUGCGAUCUUUCCUUCUGGAGAGCCAUUAUGCCAUUUAUUUGGUGUUUUGGGGAUCCAGGACUUUUACCUUGAAAAAAUUAGAGUGUUUAAAGCAGGCAUACGCUUGAAUACAUUAACAUGGAAUAAUAGAAUAGGACUUUGGUUCUAUUUUGUUGGUUUCUAGGACCGAAGUAAUGAUUAAUAGCGAUAGUCCGGGGCAUUAGUAUUUAAUCGUCAGAGGUGAAAUUCUUGGAUUUAUGAAAGACUAACUUCUGCGACAGCAUUUGCCAAGGAUGUUUUCAUUAAUCAAGAACGAAAGUUAGGGGAUCGAAGACGAUCAGAUACCGUCCUAGUCUUAACCAUAAACUAUGCCGACUAGGGAUCAGGCAAGGAUAUUUUGACUUGCUUGGCUACCUUAUGAGAAAACAAAGUUUUUGGGUUCCGGCGGGAGUAUGGUCGCCAGGCUGAAACUUACAAGGAAUUUGACAGGGACAGGGCACCACCACGUGUGGAGCCUGCGGCUUAAUUUGACAUCAAACACGGGGGAGAACUCAGCCAAGGUCCCAGACAUUAACUGAGGAUUGGACAUGAUUCGAUACGCUCGGAUCCAUGAGUUUAUAUGGGAGUGUAUGAGUGCAAUGUGCACGUUCAUAUAGAUUCGAUAGGUAGUUGAUGUAUGUCCCUGGUAUAUAGCUUCACGUAUAUAUCGUAAACGAAGACUCCUUAAGCCUUGCAUAGAUUAGGGCCUAGAUUCGGGCGUUUCUGUCUCGGUCCGUCUCCGGCUGUCAUUUAUGAGGGAGACCUGUUCUAGUCCGAUGUAUGCCUGUACUGGAAGGUAUUCGAGAGCCAAUAAUCUAGGCUCCUUGUAGAUCGCCCAUUACAGACUCGUUGGUAGGGCCUGCAAUGCGCGCUAUCACGUGGACAUGAGGUCCAGGCGAGAUUAUUUCUAGCAUUGAACCGGUAAGGCUGCUGGGUAAAUCUAUGUGAAAAUCUCUGUACGUUACUGAGGGAUACGAGCACUAUGCUAGUAUAUUGCGUCUUCAACCGACGGAAUAACUUAGUAAGACGUGAUGUCAUCAGACUCAGCGUUGAAUUAUCGUCCAUGCACCUAUUGUACACACACGCACCGUCGGUUAUUACGCAGAUUUGAGUGGACCUUAGUGAGGUCUCCAGGAUUGGCUUUGGGGAUCCAGGUCGACAGGAAUCCCCAUUAUUGACGAAGUUAGAUCAUACAUGGUCAUUUAGAGAGUAGUAAAAAGCUCGUCACAAGGUUUCCGUAAGGUGAACCCUCCG